UACCCCGGCAAUGGGAAAAGAGACACCUUGAUGGUGUCCUUAUGUCAGUCAGGGGCAGAGCAGAUGGCAGUCCUUUGUUCAUCCUAGCUUGAUGCCUGGCUUGGUGGCCAAAGCUGUCUUAUGCAUAGAACUCAUAA